AAAUGCGAUAAGUAAUGUGAAUUGCAGAAUUCAGUGAAUCAUCGAAUCUUUGAACGCACAUUGCGCCCGCCAGCACUCUGGCGGGCAUGCCUGUUCGAGCGUCAUUUCAACCCUCAGAACCCCUUGCGGGAUCUGGCGUCGGGGAUUGGCAUCCAGCCAGCCCCGAAAUCUAGUGGCGGUCCCUCCGCGACCUCCCCUGUGCAGUAGCGAUACCUCGCAUCGGGACAGCGGUCUGACCACGCCGUAAAACCCCCAACUUCUCAAGGUUGACCUCGAAUCAGGUAGGAAUACCCGCUGAACUUAAGC
rnacentral:misc_RNA from 1 species